UAUAUUAUUAAACAUAUUGUCUGUUUCUUGAAAAUUAUGAGGUACAAUACCUAAUAAUAUUAAACGUAUAAUCAUUAGGUAUAUACUGUAUUAAAUGUUACCCUAAUCUUCUCUGCACACAACACUACACACAGCAGCCCCAUCGCAAGAAAAUCGAAACCCUCUUCUUUCCGUCUCCUUCCUAAUCGCUUCAGAAUCAAUCGAUACUCACCAAAUCAAACCAAAUCUCCUCUACAUACAACAGCCGUCAUCAAACAAAAACUCAUCCGUCUCUCUCUUUAUCUCUUCAUUGACCGGCGAAGGAUACGAGAGCCGAUUACUUCGAUGGUGUGAUGAGGAUUUUUGCUACAGUUGAGUUGCCUGAAAAAGGGAUGACGAGUGUGAAUCAGGUAUGGCGGGUAGGAGCUCCGAUUAAAUUAACAUAUGUAAAACGCUAUUAGGUAUGGAGCUCUGAUUACAUUGAGUUCAAGCAUCUCAAGAUGAUUCAGAUGACAGUGGCCGGCCAGGGCUAUUUCAAACCCUAAACAACUUCACUCUUCAUUCGAUUCCCGUAAGCCUCCCUCUUUUUCCUUUUUCUUUAAUUUUUAUAUAUAAUCACAUCGAAUGGCGAGGGCGAUGAUGUUGGACUUAUACUACUAUCACCACCAUCGUUUGUAAAUCAUCAGGCUUUUGCUCCUAGAUGUAUUAUUUUACAACAAUCGGUUAGAGGUUUUUGUUUUAACACUUACGAUUUUUGGUUUUAUAGGAUUACAAUUUAGAUUGGUUUUUUUGUCACUCCAUGGAUUGAGAAGCUAAGCUUUUACAGGUUUUGUAGAGAAAAAUCGGAUGAGGGUGGUAUGAAAAAAAUGAAAGGGGAUUCUGAAUGAAAAAGUUAAUGUUUAAUAACACAAAUCUGGCCCCCACAUGUGAGUUUCUCUUUUUGUAUCUCUACAAAAAAACACCACCGUCCUUGACCCUAUUCCUCUCUAACUAUGUAUGUGUGUGUGUUUGUUUAUAUGAACACAUAUUGUUUUAUGUGGUAGAUUAUAUGUGCAUAUCUGACUUCAUAUAAUCGUUUUUUCUUUGCAGGCACAAUUAGAGAAUAUAGAUUUAGGUAUCUCAUGUAUCUCUAUCUUAUCCAUAGGCUUAAUUUUGGAUUAAUUUAUAGAAUUAUAUUUCUUCUGAUACUCACCUACAUGUCAACUCAAAGUAAGUUUCCAAUUAGAAAGAAUAAAAUCAUGUUGAUAGUGUGUAUUGACUAUUCUACUCUUUUACGUAGAAAAUCUUCUAACAAGAACAUGACUUGAAGCAUCCUUUUGGAUUUUGUCAAUUUAAGCAGCUUAGUGGAAUUGUGUGUUUGUUUUUCUGUUUAUCUUCAUGUGAAUCCGCUGUAGCUCUUGGACCAAUUUCAUAUAGAAAGCCUUCAACAGAGGUUGCUUUAUCAAGGGCCACCAGCUAAGGUUAUUAGUAGAUACCUUUACUUUUGGGUCAUUCAAUCUUAUUUUGUUAUCAUAUUAAUAACAUUAUACUUUCGACCCAGAAUUUUCUUUUUCUAUUUAACAUGUUGACGAGGAUAAGGGAAGACUUCUACUUCUAAGACAUCCACAUGAGCGACCUUCACCUCUCUACUCUUCAUGAAGUUCCAUGUACUUAUUUCAAACUCUCCGCAUAGUGCCUAUGUUUUAUGUUGAUUACUCACCGGUUUAACAGCCCCAUUCCAUUUUGAUGCAAAUAUACUUCUCCAGAGUCAAUAUAUAACAUGCUUGUGAUCGAUGCAAGCACAGAAAUCAAAAAACUCAAUUAAGUGGAAGGUUAGUCUUUUUCUGUAUUCGAGUUUCAGUACACUAGAGCAAAUUGCAUAUUCGUCUGGUUUCUUAUGCUAGAGUAGUUGAGAUUUUCUUUCACUAUAACCUAGAAAUUUUGGCUUUGUUAUGAUCUUUCUCAUUAGAAAAAGCUAAAACGUUAAUAAUGCUCUUUCGUGGAUCUAACUCUUGAUUUUUUUUUGUCGUUUCGAUUCAAAAGUUAUAGUUAUUUAUAUUUUUAUAUUUGAACUUAUUUUAUGAUGAUAUUAGGUUUUAAUCGUUGGCUACAGACUUCCGAUAACCUAGAUGUCGACUAAUAUUCACCUCCAAAACCUCUUGUGCUCACCAUAGUCAUCUCUUCCAUUAUUUUAUUUUUUUCAUUUGUGGUUCAUUUUCUUAUAAUUCUUGGCUACAGACUUUCAUUUUCCUUUCUGUCUGUCCCUACCCACAAUUUAUGUUAUGUUUUUUUUCUGUAACUCCUUUUACAGUUUUAGGUAAUUUGCAUUGCAAUGGUAAACACAACUCUAAAAAAACCUCAUUUAUUUGCAUCUUCACUUUUGUUAACAUCAUUUGAAAUAAAUGGUUGAAGAUGUCAUUUUUGUUUAUGUUUUUGGGAGUUGGAGUGCAUCAUUAUGGAAUUAGAAGAAGACAAUAUAAUUUGGAGUGUCUUGAAAGCAGAGAGAUGAUGUAAAAGCGGCAUGCUUCCCUUUAUAGAAGGAUAUACUAUCCAGGCUCAGGCAUUGAUGCUUCCGCCUCCUUUUGUGGAUUUUUGAUGAAACAUUGAAUAUGUAUAUUUACAGGUUAUAAAAAAUAAUUGAUUUUCUUUGUUAGGGUUGAUUUGGGUUUUUGAAUGAAACCAUAUAAUGUUUCUAUUC